rnacentral:rRNA from 1 species
GUGGACGCGUACCAACACUCCGGCAGGCCAUAGCCACAGGCCACGCCGUUGACGCGGUGACCGCGCCCCGCAUCCCUCGCCGGGUCUCCACGCGCAUGCACACGGGACACGGCUCCGCUCCCCACCAGUGGACGUGCCCGGGUCCAGUCGCAAGGCAACCACAGAAGAAGCGACCGAGACAACGAGGUCCGGCUCGGUCUCUUCCGGCCGCGGUUAAGCGCCGGGAUUCUCUGUCACGCGGGCGACUCUCCGGAAGCUUCGCCGCGAGGUUGGUCACGUGCGUACCUGCGUGCCCCGCCGCGCCACGGCCUAUAAAUCCACCCGCCUGCCCAGUGCCCUGAGUCACUCCCCUAUCUCUGAGAUCACACCGCGCUUUCUUCCUCCCUUUCCCAUCGUGCUCGCCGGCCAACGUCCGUAGACCGUAGGUCCCGGCCGGGUUUGAUCCAUGGCGGAAAAGAAGGUUGUGCUGAAGCUGGACCUGCACGACGACAGGCAGAAGCAGAAGGCGCUCAAGGUCGUCUCCACUCUCCACGGCAUCGACCACAUCGCCGUGGACAUGAAGGACCAGAAGAUGACGGUGGUGGGCACCGUCGACCCCGUCGACCUCGUCGGAAGGCUGCGCAGCAAGCUCUUCCCCACGGCGCAGAUGCUCUCCGUCGGCCCGGCCAAGGAGGAGAAGAAGGACGGCGGCGCCAAGAAGGAAGCUGAUACCAAGAAGGAGGGCGAGAAGAAGGACGCGGUCCCGGUGUACAUGCCGUGGUACCCGCCGCCGCCGCCGCAGUACCACCCGCACCCGUACUACCACAACCACAGCGCCGAGGAGGACCCCAGCUCCUGCGUCAUCUGCUGAUCGCCGGGCGCAGCCCACUCGCUCCCUUGUGCAGUUUGUAGCUGGCCGUGUGCUCUACUGCCUGCCGGUCGCUCAUGCCAGCUACGGCGAUCGACGGCGUGCGCCAAUGUGCCAUACAUAAGGCCGGUGAUGCAGCUGCUGUGCUCGUACUAGAUAGAACUGCUGGAGUUUAUUACAGUGUGUAGAAUUACUAGUACUAGAUAGAACUGCUGGAGUUGGAUUUUGAGUGAAAGUUCACUGAGUGCUCUGCUCUCCAAUGUGAUAACAAAGUAGUGAAAUAAAUAAAUUGAAGACAAAGAUAUGGGAAAUUCAGGAGAGUUGCUAGAUUGGUCUCUCCUGAACCUUCACACUUACGAAUAG